UCAGGAUGAACGCUAGCGACAGGCUUAACACAUGCAAGUCGAGGGGCAGCACGGGAGUAGCAAUACAACUGGUGGCGACCGGCGCACGGGUGAGUAACGCGUAUGCAAACCUACCUAUCGAGACGGGGAAUAACCCGGCGAAAGUCGGACUAAUACCGCAUAAAACAGGGGCACCGCAUGGUGAUAUUUGUUAAAGAAAUUCGCUGAUAGAUGGGCAUGCGUUCCAUUAGGUAGUUGGUGAGGUAACGGCUCACCAAGCCGACGAUGGAUAGGGGAACUGAGAGGUUGGUCCCCCACACUGGUACUGAGACACGGACCAGACUCCUACGGGAGGCAGCAGUGAGGAAUAUUGGUCAAUGGGCGAGAGCCUGAACCAGCCAAGUCGCGUGAAGGAAGAAGGAUCUAUGGUUCGUAAACUUCUUUUGCAGGGGAAUAAAGUGCGGGACGUGUCCUGUUUUGUAUGUACCCUGAGAAUAAGGAUCGGCUAACUCCGUGCCAGCAGCCGC
rnacentral:rRNA from 1 species